UUAGGUUUCGUGCAUGUGAAAUUGGCUACGCAUGUGUGCGUCAUUUAUUUAUUUAAAAAAAAAAAUUGUUUGCGUGAAUUAUUAAUGAGACUGAUCUAGCUCCGUAAUGCGUCGCGCUUAAAAUUGGCUCGCGCUACAGUCACUGGGCUCCACCGUUCCUGUGACGUCACAGCAGCUUGCUUCCAUAGCAACACGUCCUAUAUAACUUCUUUUCAGAAUUCCGAUCUCAGCGCAGGUAAAGGAAGCAGGACCAAAGAGACAUGAUUUCGUUGAGAGAACGAGUCUUUUCUUUAUUGUGAAGAAGUUCAGUGAGAAUUCAAAAUGCAGAAUUUUGGGUGGAAGUGCUCCUGUUUUCUUUUGCGGUUGCUGUUUUGUCCUCGUCAUCAUCCUGACUAAAGAUUUUUCCAAUUCUUAUCCGUUUGGAAGUGUUGGCUAAUUCCUCCUCCAUCUCUUCACGGGUCUCUGGAAGUGACCACAGUUAAUGAGGUGAAAAGGGUCUGGUGAUUGACUUGGCCAGUCUAAAACCUUCCUCUUUACCCCCUGAUGAAGUCUUUGUUGAGUUCUCAGUGUGUUUUGGAUCCUUGUCUUGCUGCAUGAUAAAGUUCCUCCUGAUUAAUUUGAGAGCAUUUCUCUGUAAAUCGGCGGACAAAAUUGUCCUGUAAACUUCUGAAUUCAUUCUGCUGCCACCAUCAUGCGUUCCAUCAUCAAUAAAGAUUACGGAGAAUGUUCCAGAAGCAGUCGUGCGAGCCCCAAGCCGUGACACUACCUCCACCAUGUUUCACAGAUGAGCUUGUAUAUUUUGGAUCAUGAGCAGAUCUUUCUUUCUCCACACUUUGGCCUUUCCAUCACUUCGGUAGAGGUUCAUCUUGGUUUCAUAACUUAUCUCUGUAUUUCUUUGCAAACUCCAAUCUAGACCUCAACCCAAGAGUAGACGUUCAGAGCUAUUAACUGUUUAAACAAUCAAUUUAACAGGGCAGACCUGAGCAUACAUUUGGUGAAACAGGACAUUU